UUUUGUUGUUGGUGCGCGACGCAGUCAGCUGCGUGAUUCCCGUGAUUGCGUUACAAGCUUUGUCUCCUUCGACUUGGAGUCUGUCCAGGACGCCAUUAUUUGGAAAGCAGGUCUAUAAAUGAGAAAGAUUAUCAUAGUCGACGCUACAUUGAUGAGUACAGAAAUGACUACACUCAAGGAUGUGAACCUGGACAUCGCCAAAGAGACCAUGAAAGCCGGUAUCAGAACCAUAGUAGCAAGUCUUCUGGUAGAAGUGGAAGAAGUAGUUAUAAAAGCAAACACAGGAUUCACCACAGUACUUCACAUCGUCGUUCACAUGGGGUAUGAACGUUUUUAAAACAUUUUGGAAAUUUUAUAUCCCAUGUGGAACAGGGAAACUUGAAUUUUUGUGUUUGAUUAUUUGAGAAAGUUUUAAGAUGAAAUCAUCUCAGUUUUAACCUGCAGGAUUUUUUCUGUGUUUGUGCAUUGGAUAGGAAAUUCCGGAAAUAAAGUACACAUUUAGUUCUAUAAUUUAAUUAUUGGUUGGCUCCUAAUUGACAUUCCAGUGAAAUGAUGGGAGUUAAUUGAUUUAAUUUAGAUUAGUUGAAAAUUAUU
rnacentral:sRNA from 1 species